rnacentral:rRNA from 1 species
AGAGUUUGAUCCCUGGCUCAGUGUGAACGCUGGCGGCAUGGUUAAGACAUGCAAGUCGAACGAGAAGCAGAACUUCGGUUUUGUGGACAGUGGCGAACGGGUGCGUAACACGUGAGCAACCUACCCCUAAGUACGGAAUAGCCCACCGAAAGGUGGAUUAAUACCGCAUGUGACCCUUUAUCGCAUGGUAGAGUGGUUAAAGCUUGUAAUGGCGCUUAGGGAUGGGCUCGCGGCCUAUCAGCUUGUUGGUGAGGUAACGGCUCACCAAGGCUAAGACGGGUAGCUGUUCUGAGAGGAUGAUCAGCCACACCGGGACUGAGACACGGCCCGGACACCUACGGGUGGCAGCAGUUUCGAAUCAUUCACAAUGGGCGAAAGCCUGAUGAUGCAAUGCCGCGUGGGGGAUGACGGCCCUAGGGUUGUAAACUCCUGUCAUUAGGGAACAACAAGUAGGUUCAUAGCCUACUCUGAGUUAACCUAAAGAGGAAGAGGUGGCUAACUCCGUGCCAGCAGCCGCGGUAAUACGGAGACCUCGAGCGUUACUCGGAUUUACUGGGCGUAAAGGGUGAGCAGGCGGCCAGGUGUGUCAGGUGUGAAAUCCCGGGGCUUAACCCCGGAACUGCGCCUGAAACUACCUGGCUAGAGUCUCGGAGAGGACAGUGGAAUUCUAGGUGUAGCGGUGAAAUGCGUAGAUAUCUAGAGGAACACCAGUGGCGAAGGCGACUGUCUGGACGAGUACUGACGCUCAAUCACGAAAGCGUGGGUAGCGAAAGGGAUUAGAUACCCCUGUAGUCCACGCCGUAAACGAUGAUCACUCGCUGUUGGCGAUAUACAGUCAGCGGCCAAGCGAAAGUAUUAAGUGAUCCACCUGGGGAGUACGCCGGCAACGGUGAAACUCAAAGGAAUUGACGG